GAUGAACGCCGGCGGUGUGCCUAAUACAUGCAAGUCGUACGCACUGGCCCAACUGAUUGAUGGUGCUUGCACCUGAUUGACGAUGGAUCACCAGUGAGUGGCGGACGGGUGAGUAACACGUAGGUAACCUGCCCCGGAGCGGGGGAUAACAUUUGGAAACAGAUGCUAAUACCGCAUAACAACAAAAGCCGCAUGGUUUUGUUUGUAAAGAAUGGCUUUGGCUAUCACUCUGGGAUGGACCUGCGGUGCAUUAGCUAGUUGGUAAGGUAAACGGCUUACCAAGGCAAUGAUGCAUAGCCGAGUUGAGAGACUGAUCGGUCACAAUGGAACUGAGACACGGUCCAU
rnacentral:rRNA from 1 species